AAAGAAAUCUACAAAAGAUGAACCACACAUUCUGGUUCUAUAAAAUCUCGGCUGAAUGGGAUGCUCCUUCUGAAACAUAGAACAGUUUAAUAAGCAAACUCUGUUGGAUGGAGACUUUAGGAAAACAUCAUGUGGAAGCCAAGGAGAACAGCAAACCGAGG